rnacentral:sRNA from 1 species
CGACCACAGGAGGGAGAAGGGCAAGAUGCUCGCUCCAACCGUGGCCGUGUUCUCUCCUUCUGUCCCCACAGUGUGACUCCGCCAGGAACUUGGAAUGGCUGAAGACUGUGAAUGAGAGUCAUGGGUCUGUGGAACGCUCAUCCCUGACCCUGGCCACGGCCAUCAACCAAAGAGGCAUCUAUGUGAUCCAGGCACCCAAAGGUGGCCAAAAGAUUUCCCCAGACACGGUUCUGCACUUGAUCCUUCCUGAGAGCCCUGGCAGCCACGAGGAGUCGCGAGAGUACUCUUUAGAGGAGGUGAAGGAGCUUUUGAACAAGUUGAUGCUGAUGUCUGGCAAGAAGGAUCGUAACAACACGGAAGUGGAGAGGUUUUCAGAGGUCUUCUGCAGUGUGCAGAGGCUCAGCCAGGCCUUCAUCGACCUGCACUCUGCUGGGAAUAUGCUGUUCAGGACGUGGAUCGCCAUGGCCUACUGCUCCCCCAAGCAGGGUGUGUCCCUCCAAAUGGACUUUGGCUUGGACCUGGUGACGGAGCUUAAAGAAGGUGGAGAUGUCACUGAGCUGCUGGCAGCCCUCUGCAGGCAGAUGGAGCACUUCCUUGACAGCUGGAAGAGAUUCGUGACCGAG